rnacentral:rRNA from 1 species
GAGGACCGAACACACAUCCGUUGAAAAGGGUGGUGAUGAGGUGUGGAUAGGGGAGAAAUUCCAAUCGAACCCGGAGAUAGCUGGUUCUCCUCGAAAUAGUUUUAGGACUAGCCUUGUUUUAGUUUCAUGGAGGUAGAGCUCUGAAUUCUUAAGGGGGCGUCAAAGCUUACUAAGAGAUAUCAAACUGCGAAUGCCAUCGAAAUGAUGAACAGGAGUCAGACUGCACGAGAUAAGUUGGGUAGUCAAAAGGGAAAGAGCCCAGACCUACAGCUAAGGUCCCAAAGUAUGUGUUCAGUGGAAAAGGAUGUGAGAUUUCAGAGACAACUAGGAUGUUGGCUUAGAAGCAGCCACACAUUCAAAGAGUGCGUAAUAGCUCACUAGUCGAGAGGUCUUGCGCCGAAAAUGUCCGGGGCUAAAACACAACACCGAAGCUUAGGAAUGUAGCAAUACAUUGGUAGAGGAGCAUUUUUAUAGGCGUAGAAGCUGUACCGAUAAGGAGCAGUGGAGUAAUAAAAAGAGAGAAUGCCGGAAUGAGUAGCGAGAUGAAGGUGAGAAUCCUUCAGGCCGAAUAUCUAAGGUUUCCAGAGUAAAGCUGAUCUGCUCUGGGUAAGUCGGGACCUAAGGCAAGGUCGAAAGACGUAGUCGAUGGACAACAGGUUUAGAUUCCUGUACCGCUUAUUAUCAGAAAUGUGGGGACACAGAGACGUAUCCAAACCCAGGAAUGCAAAGACUGGGGCAAGCCAAGUACUGGUAUGGUAGGAAAAUCCGCCAUGCAACAGGAAUAGGUGAUGCGGACCGAAAUUAAGUAGGGAAGUUGGAGAAGGAGCUGUCAAGAAAAGCCGCUAUUGUGUAAUAAGUGCCCGUACCGUAAACCGACACAGGUGGAUGAGGAGAGAAUCCUAAGGCCGGCGGGAGAAGCAUUGUUAAGGAACUCGGCAAAAUGACCCCGUAACUUCGGGAGAAGGGGUGCCAUCCUCCGGGAUGGCCACAGAAAAUAGGCUCAAGCAACUGUUUAGCAAAAACACAGGUCUAUGCGAAACCGAAAGGUGAGGUAUAUGGGCUGACGCCUGCCCGGUGCUGGAAGGUUAAGAGGAGAGGUUAGCGCAAGCGAAGCUUUGAAUUUAAGCCCCAGUAAACGGCGGCCGUAACUAUAACGGUCCUAAGGUAGCGAAAUUCCUUGUCGGGUAAGUUCCGACCCGCACGAAAGGCGUAAUGAUUUGAGCGCUGUCU